GAUGGGUUUGCACAGGGGAAUCAGCUCUAUACCCUGGUGUAUAUGUGGGACUCUGUCCAAAUCUAGAAAUGCCAGGCUUCUGAAACCCAGCAGACAGGACCUGCAUGGUGCCUUGGGGACAGUCAGGUGCCUUGGAGACAGCCCUAUGGGCAAUGGUGGAGAGAAGGAGGGCACGGCAAACUCGCACUUACCGGGCAAGGCUGCACACACUGGCAGUGCUCUUCUAGCUACCUGUGGCUGGGGGUGCAAGGGAGCAGGGCUCAAGAGUGGCCCAGCUGCAUUGCAUGUAGGUGCAUUCUGUGCCUGUGCUUGGAGCUCUGCUCUAGUGAGGCACUGACAGCAGCCCCACAGGGAAGUUUGUUGGGUUGUUUCUUAGCAGCACUAUGGUGGGCAUGGAGGCAGAUUGGUCCUGCACAUAGACCUCUGCUCCAUUAAGACACAGCCUGUGCCCUGGUAGAGGCCCACUGAGCCCAGAUUCAGCUCCUUGCUGAGAUGGGCUCAAAGUAGACAUGGGCUGAGCCUCCAGCUAGUGCUGUGCCUCAGGUGAAAUCAGCCAGCAAACUCUUGCGUCAUCUACUUCUGCUCCGCCAACCCAGGCUGUUUCCUUGAGUUGCUGUACUCAGUCAAUGUGUAGGUUCAGCCUGCAUCUGGUCCUUGGAUCAGGUGGAAGCAGCCAGCAACCCCUUGCAGCAACUCUUUCUGUUUCACUCACCAGACUGCAGUUCCAUGAGGAGCUUCACUUGGUGUGGACACAUGAUGACUCUCUGCAAAGAUCCCCAGUUAGGUGCAACCAGUUUUCUCCUGCAGUGGCUAGUUCUCCACUUCUCUGGGUGCUGGCUGUAGAGGCAGGCAACACUGGCAGGUAGAGCCCCAGUUCUUCAAUAAACAGUUUGAAUCUACUUGCAAAGCAUUACUCCAUGCUGGUCCAGUGAGGCGCUCCACUCCAUGUAGACACAGGCUGCGUAUCCACUAGCAGUCCUGGCUCAUCCCUGUACUGGCUGUAAUUAGGCACAGAGGGCAUUUCUGAGCUGAUCCAGGUGGUGGUGCCUGCUGGAGCCAUGCACACUGUAGAUGUGGGCUGCAUCUCCACAGGAUAGCCUGAUGCAUUUCCACAGACAGGGGCUUGUCCUGUGUGGAUACAGGUGGAAGUUCCUUGAGAAGCCUCAUUUUGUGUGCAAGCUAUGUGGUUCUGUGUAGACGCUGCCUGGUUAUCUGCAGAUGCAAACUCAAUCUCAGUAAACAUAGCCUCCUUCUGUGCUUACACAGCCUUCUUGGUGACAGAUAAAACCUCAUCUUGGGUAGACACAGCGUCAUUUUGGGCAGGUGCAGCUUCAUCUUGGGAAUGUCCCACCUUGUCCUGGGCAGCCAUAGUUUGGUUCUGUGCAGACACAGCCUGUGAUGACACACAGAGUUUUUGCUCAUGUAGACACAGUUUAUGGCCUGUUGCAGGGCAGCUGUUGACACAGCCAACAUCCUCUUGUGGAGUCUGUGCUGUGUAGAUGAGGCUUGAGCUUGCUUACUGAACUGUGUUCUUUGUAGAGACAGUUUGUAUCUGGGUAUAAAGUCACCUCCUGUGUGGCCAUGGCCUGCAGAAGCCUGCCGAGGCUCAUCUUGUUUAGAUGUUGUCUGCACCUUUCCACUGAGCCUCCUUGCACAGAUAUGCCUGCAUUGCCUUAUGAAAUUUCACUUGGUCCUGACCUAGCCAGCACCACCAUGCAGAGCUGUGCACCACAUGGAUCCAUGGGGGGUCUUGAAGAGCCACAUUCAUGACUAAUGCAACCUCUGCCUCCAGGGAACUGCCAUCAUUUUUCUGCAGAGCUGUGAUCCACACAGUGGCAGUGUGCAUCACUGGGAAGACCCACAGUCCUCAUGUUGGUGCUGCCCGCAUCUCCUGGCUGGGUGCUAUCCUCCACUUUUACCGUCUGCCUCUUGUGGCAGAUCGGGGCUCUGUAUGUGCAGUUGGCUUCUGCCUGCAGGGCUGGACUUGACAGACACAGCAAGCAUCUCUUUGCAGUUUUGUCCUAUGGAAACACAGCCCUGUUUUCCUUGGGAAGUUUUGUCUUGCAUGGAUGUUGUCUGUAUCUCUUUAGGGAGCCAGAUUCCACGUAGAUGCAGCCCACAUCCACUAGAAGAGCCUCAUAUCAUGUAGAUGCAGCCUUCAUCCCCACAUAGAGGCAUCCCCACACAUUCUUGUGGAGUGGAGCUACCUGUGGAUCCAGAUUGCCUCUGACCACCUGCCUUGUGUGCUGCCCCAGGUUACUCGGGUGGCCCAGUCCCUACAGCUAUGGCUCCCCCACACCGUGCUGCUUUCUUUGCUGUGAUAUCUGCUCAGGCAGCAGUGAUUUCAGCUCCGCCCUAGGACCCAAGUUCCUGCUUGGGGCCCCGGCCCCCUUGGAACCCCAGCUGGUGCCAGCACAGCCUGCCUCCAUCUCCUGAUGGAGCAGGAGGAACCCAGAGAAGUCAGCAGUGUGGUGCUAGAAGAUGGAGCCCAGCUUGCAGGAGGCCCAGAGAGCUGGCACUGGGGAGACCACACCUUCAUGGAUCUGUGAUCCCUUCACUGCCAAAUCCUCAGCCUGUCACACCAAGAAGAUACUGGCCUUCUGGCAGAUAAAGUGGAAGGUGAACUCAGAGCAGCCCUAUCACAGUGGCCAGCUUCAUCCCAGGCUCAGAAUCCAAGAGCAUCCUUCACUGGCUCCCUGGUCCUAGCCGCCAGCUCUGGGAGGAGUCAGGGCCCAAGUCACUGGGCCCAGGUCAAGGCAGAGGAGCUGAAGCCCAGAGAGGGAAAGAAAGUGAAGGGUGCAGGUUGGCAGCAACCUUGUGUGUUGAAACAGAAUUCCUGGGGAGGGAAGCAAAACAACAUUUUCCUACCUCCGUGGCUCCCUGAGGAACAGUGGCAGCCCAAAGAUGGGACUCCUCCCUCUGUUCACAUUAGCCAGCCCUCAGCAUACCAUGAUGCAUCUGUGCAAUUGCCAUACUUAUAAAGCAUCUUUCUCAUCAAUGAACAUGUGCCAGAAGGGAUUUAUUGCCCCCCUUUUUCUCUAUCAGUCAGAUAUUUACUAUCUCUGUCCUUGUGUGAAAAUAUUCUCAGAAGUGCCAUGAGAACAUUUCCUAUUGUGAGAUUGCC
rnacentral:lncRNA from 1 species